rnacentral:rRNA from 1 species
UACGGGGGGGGCAAGCGUUGUUCGGAAUUACUGGGCGUAAAGGGCGCGUAGGCGGCCUGCUAAGUCGGACGUGAAAUCCCCCGGCUCAACCGGGGAACUGCGUCCGAUACUGGUGGGCUCGAAUCCGGGAGAGGGAUGUGGAAUUCCAGGUGUAGCGGUGAAAUGCGUAGAUAUCUGGAGGAACACCGGUGGCGAAGGCGGCAUCCUGGACCGACACUGACGCUGAGGAGCGAAAGCGUGGGUAGCAAACGGG